GAUGAACGCUGACAGAAUGCUUAACACAUGCAAGUCAACUUGAACUUCGGUUUGGGUGGCGGACGGGUGAGUAACGCGUAAAGAACUUGCCUCACAGAUAGGGACAACAUUUGGAAACGAAUGCUAAUACCUGAUAUUAUGAUUUUAGGGCAUCCUAGAAUUAUGAAAGCUAUAUGCGCUGUGAGAGAGCUUUGCGUCCCAUUAGCUAGUUGGAGAGGUAACGGCUCACCAAGGCGAUGAUGGGUAGCCGGCCUGAGAGGGUGAACGGCCACAAGGGGACUGAGACACGGCCCUUACUCCUACGGGAGGCAGCAGUGGGGAAUAUUGGACAAUGGACCAAGAGUCUGAUCCAGCAAUUCUGUGUGCACGAUGAAGUUUUUCGGAAUGUAAAGUGCUUUCAGUUGGGAAGAAAAAAAUGACGGUACCAACAGAAGAAGUGACGGCUAAAUACGUGCCAGCAGCCGCGGUAAUACGUAUGUCACAAGCGUUAUCCGGAUUUAUUGGGCGUAAAGCGCGUCUAGGUGGUUAUGUAAGUCUGAUGUGAAAAUGCAGGGCUCAACUCUGUAUUGCGUUGGAAACUGUGUAACUAGAGUACUGGAGAGGUAAGCGGAACUACAAGUGUAGAGGUGAAAUUCGUAGAUAUUUGUAGGAAUGCCGAUGGGGAAGCCAGCUUACUGGACAGAUACUGACGCUGAAGCGCGAAAGCGUGGGUAGCAAACAGG
rnacentral:rRNA from 1 species